CGUGCAGGCGGUUUGGUAAGUCAGAUGUGAAAGCCCUGGGCUUAACCCGGGAAGUGCAUUUGAAACUGCCUUUCUUGAGUAUGGGAGAGGAGAGUGGAAUUCCCAGUGUAGAGGUGAAAUUCGUAGAUAUUGGGAGGAACACCCGUGGCGAAGGCGACUCUCUGGACCAAUACUGACGCUGAGACGCGAAAGCGUGGGGAGCAAACAGGAUUAGAUACCCUGGUAGUCC
rnacentral:rRNA from 1 species